rnacentral:rRNA from 1 species
AGGACGAACGCUGGCGGCGUGCUUAACACAUGCAAGUCGAACGGAAAGGCCCCUUCGGGGGUACUCGAGUGGCGAACGGGUGAGUAACACGUGGGCAACCUGCCCUCAGCUUCGGGAUAACACUUGGAAACAGGUGCUAAUACCGGAUAAUAACUUGUCAUCGCAUGGUGGUGGGUUCAAAGUUUUUCGGCUGAGGAUGGGCCCGCGGCCUAUCAGCUUGUUGGUGGGGUAAUGGCCUACCAAGGCGACGACGGGUA